GACGAACGCUGGCGGCGUGCUUGACACAUGCAAGUCGAACGGAAAGGCCCUGCUUGCAGGGUACUCGAGUGGCGAACGGGUGAGUAACACGUGGGUGAUCUGCCCUGCACUUCGGGAUAAGCUUGGGAAACUGGGUCUAAUACCGGAUAGGAGCCAUCUUUAGUGUGGUGGUUGGAAAGUUUUUUCGGUGUAGGAUGAGCUCGCGGCCUAUCAGCUUGUUGGUGGGGUAAUGGCCUACCAAGGCGGCGACGGGUAGCCGGCCUGAGAGGGUGUACGGCCACAUUGGGACUGAGAUACGGCCCAGACUCCUACGGGAGGCAGCAGUGGGGAAUAUUGCACAAUGGGCGCAAGCCUGAUGCAGCGACGCCGCGUGGGGGAUGAAGGCCUUCGGGUUGUAAACUCCUGUCGCUAGGGACGAAGCUUUGUUGUGACGGUACCUAGAUAAGAAGCACCGGCUAACUACGUG
rnacentral:rRNA from 1 species